GACCUGAUGGUGUAGUUGUAACAUGCCUGCUGAAUUUGGGAUGUAGAAAAUGGUACCGUAAGCAGGAGAUCCUGGUUUGAACCUGGGUCAGGUCA